AAUGAACGUUGGCGGCGUGGAUUAGGCAUGCAAGUCGAGCGAGAACCCAGCAAUGGGGGACAGCGGCGCAAGGGACAGUAAUGUGUAGAUCAUCUGCCCUCAGGCCCGGGAUAGCUGCGGGAAACUGCAGGUAAUACCGGAUAACAUCUCCGGAUCAAAGGUGUGAUUCCGCCUGAGGAUGAGUCUACAUCCUAUUAGCUAGUUGGCAGGGUAACGGCCUACCAAGGCGAUGAAGGGUAGCGGGUGUGAGAGCACGACCCGCGUCAUUGGGACUGAGACACUGCCCAGACACCUACGGGUGGCUGCAGUCGAGAAUCUUCGGCAAUGGGCGCAAGCCUGACCGAGCGACGCCGCGUGCGGGAUGAAGGCCUUCGGGUUGUAAACCGCUGUCAGGGGGGAUGAAAUACAGGUGGGUUCUCCCAUCUGUUUGACAUAGCCUCAGAGGAAGGACGGGCUAAGUUCGUGCCAGCCGCCGCGGUAAUAC
rnacentral:rRNA from 1 species